rnacentral:rRNA from 1 species
AUUGAACGCUGGCGGCAGGCCUAACACAUGAAAGUCGAGCGAGCGGCGGACGGGUGAGUAAUGUCUGGGAAACUGCCUGAUGGAGGGGGAUAACUACUGGAAACGGUAGCUAAUACCGCAUACCAUCAGAUGUGCCCAGAUGGGAUUCGCUAGUAGGUGGGGUAACGGCUCACCUAGGCGACGAUCCCUAGCUGGUCUGAGAGGAUGACCAGCCAUACUGGAACGUAGACACGGUCCAGACGCGUACGGGAGGCAUCAGUGGGGAAUAUUGCACAAUGGGCGCAAGCCUGAUGCAGCCAUGCCGAGUGUGUGAAGAGGGCCUUCGGGUUGUAAAGCACUGUCAGCGGGGAGGCGUUACCCGCAGAAGAAGCACCGGCUAACUCCGUGCCAGCAGCCGCGGUAAUUC